UUGCCCGAUGAUUAUAAAAAGACGCGAAAGAGGACUUAAAGCUGGAAUUCUUUUCCUUGUAUUCUCUCCUCUGCUCUUUGUCUUUAACUUCUCUUCUACUUUUCUUUUCUCUGCUUUUUCUCUCUCUGGAUGUCCAGCGUCCUAUGAGCGAAGAUUAUGAGAUAUGAGGGCAA